GAUCAACGGUUCUAUGAUUGAAAACGUUAUAAGGGGGGACAAUUGGCCGUCUGUAUUUAUAUAGAUUGGACAAGGGAUGCUUUCUAAUGCAGGCACGGUUGUGCUAUCGCUUCAUGGUAGACUUGAGCAUUUUGCAGCUUUUGAUGUCGAAUUGUUUGCCGCCAUACUUCUUUUUCAUGUCGCACUUGAUUCUCUGUAUGGUGGCGCCUUUCCUGAGGUCAUUCUUAAGCGCAUGCUCUACGUCUACCAAAAGCGAGAAGUAUGCCAACUUUGCUGCAGGAGCAGAAGCUUUGGCAAUCGAUGAUGCUCGUGCUAUUUUUCCCCUUAAUUUCUU
rnacentral:lncRNA from 1 species